rfam:Candidatus Pacearchaeota archaeon RBG_13_33_26 RBG_13_scaffold_530, whole genome shotgun sequence.
GCCUGUGUAGCUCAGUGGCAGAGCACCUGCCCUGUAAGCAGGGGGUCGGGGGUUCAAAUCCCUCCACAGGCU